rnacentral:lncRNA from 1 species
CCAGGUACGUAGACCUUUAAGUGUUUAUUACAUGAUAGUUAAAUAUUUACAAACAUAUAAACUAUCUAUUACAUCAUAUUCCAACUACUCAGUAGCUUUUCCUUUUCCUUUGUCUCUAAUAGACCCCUCUGCUAGAGCCUGAUUAGCUGAAAACAUUUAUAACAAAGUAAGAAUGAGCAUUUAAUUGCUUAGCAAGUAAUAGCAUUCUUUAAUAUCUUAACAAUAAAUAAAUAUUUUCUUUGAGGCAUGCUUUGACAGUGAAACAAAACUGUAAAGCAAUUAAAUCAUGAAUCAUUCAUAUUCUGGGAAUAUCAUAUCAAUAUCAAAUUGCUGAGAGAUUAUAAGACCAUGAACAAGCCUUUUAUUUUCUUGAAAAGGUUCUAUCAGAGAUUUAUCUGUAAACCGUCUUAUCUUACGGGCACGGUGGGUGAUCAGCCCUUUAUGCCAUGUAUUGAUCAAUACUAUCUUAUCUAGAAUAAUUUUUAUAUUCAACGUCACCACUUCCAGAGUGCAAUAAAAAUAUCCCAUUUCAGGGUUUGUUCAUUCUCAGUCUAGAGUCCAAACUAUAACAAUAUAGCUGGAUAGCUCAAAUCAUUGCACAAUAAUAUUCAAGGCUUAUUAUAAAGAAAUUAAAAUAUUUUACAUGUGUCUGACCAGAAAAAAUAGUUUAGACUUACCUUCAACCUGUUCAUGCAUAUUGAAUUUCAUUCGAUAUACAUGACAGUACAUUAACUAUUCUUUUGAAGCUAAUUGGAAUAAAAAGGUCUUAAUACCUUGUAUUAUUCAUAAAUAAAUGGGAGACGGUUCAAAAUUCAGAGAACUUAUCCACAUAUGAAUAAUUCCAUAAUACUUGCUCAAUGAAGAGUAAGAUUUAGAUACUUUCCUUGUUCGUAGACUAUUGAUAAAAUUCAGCUUAACUUGUUCUCACAAAGCCUACACAAUUAUAUUUGCAUGUACAAAUAUAUUAGCCAAACAUCCAAGUCAUAUAGCUUGUAUAUUCACAUAUCACAUAAUCACAUUGAUUAUAUUUUUAGUUUGUGUUGUUACUUUUGAAAUACUUGUACACAUUUUUCAAAUACCUCAUCCAUGCUCUCAAAAUAGCCAUUUUUAUCUUUAAUAAAGUUCAGUAUGCUUAUCACAUGUAACCACAUUACAAUAAUUAUUUACACUCUAUUAGUAACUUUAGUAUAUGAGCAUUUCAUGCUUUUGUUACUUAAUUUCUAGCACACAAGGUGUCUUCAUAGCUUAGUUCAUGUUUUGAAAGUAUUUCCCACAUGUAUGGUUAAUGUAUAGUCUUUCCCAUGAUUUAUAAUUUCAUUUUUGUAUGCCAGUGUUACAUAAUCUUGUUUUCCUUCGUAAUGUCAAAACAGUCCCCUUUUCGACUAAGUGCAUCAAACAACCCUUUUUUAUUGAAUAACAGUUCCAACUUGACUAGCCAUGUGGGAAGCCAAGCUUUACCUGGCCCAGUGGGGCUUAGCCAAGCUAAGUGUGGCCUAGGUUGGCCUCGCGGCCCCAAACAUACCUAACAGCCCCUAACCUUGCCACACUUCUGUUUGAUAGCUUAAUUUUAUAACUUGCUAAUUCAUUAUAGUUUCUACAUAUGCGAGCAUCAACAUUGAAUUGGAGAUUUGAUGUAAAUCAUAUAUACUUCUUUAUUUAGAAAGUUUUAAACCCGUUUAUAUUAGAUUUUGGAACCCAAAAUAGGUGAUACCUUUGCUUAUAAGAAGGAACCAACAAUUAAGCAUCUCUAGCCAUAUAAGUGCACUAACUGAAAGCUAAUGUAAAGCUCCCAGCCCAUGCCAAUUAUGUUCACUGCUGCUGCCAAGGCAGUAGCCCUGUUCCCGUUCUCCUUCAACUCUAGACUUACACAUCCCAAAGGAAAGUCUAUAUACAUAAUUAUAAAACCAACCAAAACCAUACUUGAUAAUUAGUUUCAUAAAAUUAUGUUAGUUUGUCAAAAUGGGUUGCCCAACUGUUCACCAACUGCUGCUGCUGGUACUUGCUGCUACCACUAGCCAGCAGCUUUUCCCUUUGAUUCAUGCUUUGCUACACUUUUAUCCCAACAUUCUUGUUUUGUUUGAGUUGGGUUUUAAAGCUAAUAUAGAUGAUACACUUGCCUAAUAACGAGAUACAAUAGCUAAGCAAUUUGGUUGGCUCAAAUGAGUUGACUGAGAGCCAAGGAAGCCUCCAGCCAUUGCCCCAUCAUGGCCACUGCUGCUAUCCGCUACUGGUACACGCUGCUGCCCCUAGGCAACAACUCUUUCCCCCUCCCGCGUGGUCACUUUGCGGUCUUGUAUAAUUUAGCUCAUAUACCAGAUUGUGACAAAUUUUAUAUAGGUUGUGUAUCAUAUAAAGUACUGUAUUUAGAAGUUCUGAUCACUCCAUUUCAGAUUCCAUAGGCCACUCAAAACAGUGGCCGAAACUGACCCAUUAAAUAAAUUUUUGAAUUUUCAUUGAAGCUUAAAAUUGAGUUUUUUUCUAACUUGACAUACCCAAAUACUCUAAUUAUCAUCAUGUAUGGUAUACAUAUCCAGCCUAGGCUUUAAUUCUAUCAAAUAAUAAAUUUUUAAGUAAAACAGUCCAUUAGGGACUUUUAUCGAACAGUUAGUGUGCAUAGUUUUAAGACAUCUUUUGCAUAGCUAUUGGUUUGCUCUUCAAUCCCAUUUUUAUCUCCCUUAUGCCUUCACACAUCCAACUUAUCUCCUUUAUACAAAUUCCAGCCAUAACAGUCUGAUAUACACAGUUAAACUCAACAUAUUAGUUUGUAAACUAAAUAAUUUCUUAACUUGAUCAUCUUCAAUUUACUUUAAGUUUCCAUAACAUAUCCUUUGCUACAUGUGAUACCAAUACUCUGUAAGUAAUCAGUGGUUAUAUAAUCUAACAUCACACACAGUUAUUUCACAGUUAAACAUAUUAUUAACCAACUAAUGGAGUAAUUCUCAUAUAGCACAAUAUAGCAAAGGAGUAAUUACCUCUUAAUUGUUUAAUUAAAUAUGCUGAGUUCUUCAAUGUUCUUAAUCACUACUCUCCCAUCUCCGGUUAGUCACAGUUCAGCUCUCCAAGACCUUAGUAUUGUUGAACUUCAGUAUAUAAGAAUGGGAGAUGAAAGGAUUUUGAGCAAGAAGAAAUUGAGAUUAUGGUUUAGGGAAAACAAGACUGAAAGUUUGAAGUCUUGAUUUUAUAAAAGAACUCAGCCUUGCUCUCCAAGGAUUUUGCGUGCAGGUUAAUUACUCACAUAGGCUUGAUGACUCCCUUGCCUAUAUUUCUUAUUGAAUGCCAGCACCAGCUAAAUACUCAGAUGAUACAACAACUCAUGCUUGCUUAUAUAAGACUUGCUUGUCUUGUUUUUUUUAAAACCAAUACUGACCCCUUUACCCUGCAUUCCUUAUAAAUAAGCAUCUCAUAUAAAAAAAUCCAUACCUUUAUUAAUACUAGUUGAUAGCCCGUGCAAUGCACGGGCUAGUUUAAAAAAUAAAUUGACUAAUUUAAACCUGAAUGUAUCUAACAAAAAAUACAUUCAUUAUAGCAUAAGAAAUGAAACAUGAAACAAAUACUAAGAAUGGAAUGAAAUAGUGAGUGAAAUGAUUCAUUCUAAACCUAGCUAGAAUGAGCCAUUCUAUACCAUUUCUCAAAUAAUAAAAUUCAUAAAUUUGGAGAGAAUGAAAAUGGUUCAUUCAAUGCCCUCCUUAAUUCCGACAAUCCAAAUGUAGCAUAAAUCUCUUUCAACUCGCGUAUAAUGCUAUUCAACUUCAGAAAAAUGAAAAGCAAAGAAACAUUCGUCAAUGUAGGAAAAUGAUAUCUAAAAGCACAAAAGGGAAAAGAAAAACAACCAUGUUAACUUAUUACACUGUUGGAGGAUGAAUACAUUCUAGGUAUUAUCAAAUACCAAGUUAUAUUUCUUUUUUGGCAUUUCAUCAAACAUGUAAUGUGCACUUUUCCAAAUAUUUGAAAGGAUAUAAUCAACUUGUUGCCCAAUUGCCCAGAAAGCCUAUUAUCUCUAAGAGUCAAUGUAGUCAAAUUUGUUGCCAAAACAGAUCAUCCCGUAUAAUACCUGAGAGAUAGUUUGAAUCAAGGUCUAGGUGUUCCACUGAGCUGCAUUUCUCAAGCUCCAAUAUAAUAUUUCCAUUGAAAUAGUUCACUGCUAAAUUAAUAACUUGAAUACGGGGUGAGUUGUUACAUAUACCAUCAGGAACCAAACACUGAAAAUAUUCUGAGAAAUGUUGAAAACUCGAAUUGAUGGCAGAUCGAUGCUAAUUGGAAACAACCCAGAAAAGACAUUUUUGUUCAAGUCCAAAAACUCUAAAUUGGGCAAAUGCAACAGUUAUGUUGGAAAUGAGCCUUUGAGCACAUUGUGGGAUGAAUUAAGGGAAAUUGAUUCUGAGAGCUUGCCCAUUAAUCUUUCCCUUCCAAGUUCUAACUUAACUGCAAGUGAAGCCUACCCAAUCACAGUAAUUGGGGGGAAAAGAUGAAUUUGCAUUCAAUUUCCACACAUCACUAAUUGAGUUUAAACCAUUUAUCGAACCCUCCAAUGCCUUCAAAUAAUUUGAAUUGCAUGUCAAGUUCUGAGCAUUCAAAACCUCAACUUGUAAAGAACCCCCAAAAAGAAUCAAAAUUAUCCAUAAUUCCAUAAUACCAAUCUCAGAAAAAUAAUCUCAAAUACAUGAAGAAAGAAAAGGGCCUAGUGAAAUCAGCCUUACAUCAAGAUUGAACCUUUAACCAUCUUCCAGAGCAAAAGAAAAAUGAAUAAAGACACCUAAAAAAUAUUUAAAAAAUUGGGGGCUUGUUGGAACAAAAAAUGAAUAUACAGAAAGACAAAGUACUGAUCACCUGAAAACUGCACGCUUUGUUGGCUCAAAAGAUAAGAUUUUGUUUCUGCUUGAACUUCCCGUUCUUGCAAUUAAGAAAAAGAAAACAGAGAAGAAAAAAAUGAGAGACAUAAAAGUAGAUAGGGAACCCCAAAUCACAUAGCAAAAUCAAGUAUUUACCUCGUCCUAGUUGUCGCUGAUGACUUCAAUCUCAUCCUCAUUCCUCAUUCAUCAGUUAGAGGAAUUCAAGCCAGCUUGUAACUCUUUUUUCAUGAAUAUGGUCUGCAUCUUUUUUGGGUGAAUUGUCUUGAUCAACAACUUUACUAUUCCG